GUGAUUGUGCCAGCAGCCGCGGUAAUACGAAGGGGGCUAGCGUUGUUCGGAAUCACUGGGCGUAAAGCGCACGUAGGCGGACCAUUAAGUCAGGGGUGAAAGCCUGGAGCUCAACUCCAGAACUGCCUUUGAUACUGAUGGUCUCGAGUAUGGAAAGAGGUUGGUGGAACUGCGAGUGUACGAGGUGAAAUUCGUACGAU
rnacentral:rRNA from 1 species